AACUCAGACAGCUUUCUUCCACCCAGAGGACCCUACCCUCGCCCCUAGCUCAUUAACUCCCUGCAAACCUCCUCUCUUCGACACGUCGACGCCUAUAAACAAGAGGAGACACCACUGGAAGACUGCACCUUCUUCCCAGAAGACGUAUAAGGAGGCCCUACUUACUCCCUCUUCGUCACCUCCACGACAACCUCGCCUACCAACGAUUUACUCACCUUUCCCUCCCUCCCUCCCUUGGCAGUCUCUCCUUCAUAGGUAGAUGCUUCCAGUCCCUG
rnacentral:lncRNA from 1 species